UAUAAUGUUAAUACCGGGGAAAUUCGAUCAGAUUUGAAGUUUCGAAAAGAGUUUUACGACAUUUCUAUAAACUUCUUUUAGAUUUAGUUUAGAAGCUGCAAUAGCGAGUAAUUUCGCUGAAUUGAAGUUAAAGCUGUAUCGUUUCUCAUGACCGUUUCCUCCAUGUCCUUAAAAUCGUACAUAAUAAUACUAAUAGUAAAUGAAGUUCUGUUUCUGGGACCCAAAUCAUCACCGGUGUCUUGGACCCUGUAUCCGCUAUCGCUGCCCAUCUAUUUUUAAUAUUUUUAAAUGUUUCUUAUUUGGUUAUUUAAUAUUUAAAAAUGUACUAUAUAUAUAAAAUGAAGAAGAAGAAUAUAUAUAAAAAAAGAAGUUCUAUGACAUCGAAUUACUAGAAUCCUAAUCGAUUAGUAAAAUCCUGUGUUUUAUCGCCAAGAAUAACGAAACGUUUCUAAAAAAAAAAACACAAAUUAAUUUGACAUUUUGACAGUGACAAGCAACUGACUAAACUGACAGUAAUUAUUAAUGUAAUGCAAAUAAAAUUGCUAAAAGUGAAAAACAACGGAUCGAUGUUCAAAAUAGGAAAGUGUUUAUCGCUAUUAUUUUACUAUACGAAAUUGUUGUAACUGAAAAUAACUUUUCUACGUGUAAAAAGAGGUGUUGAGAGUUACGCUUAUAUCUUUCCAGUAAUCGUACAAACGGAAAUCAGAAUGACUUCAGAAAAGAAUGCCCAAGUGGGUCAAGCGCGUGAAGCUUUUCAAAUGAUGUAUCAGAUAUCACAACUGCUCUGCACAGGUCUGGAUGCAGACACUCUGUCAAUCUGCAUACGACUGUGUGAGCUAGGCGUCGAUCCUGAAGUAUUAGCCCACGUUAUCAAAGAAAUCAGAAAAAUGGGUGAUAAUGCUGCCCAAAACAGACCCGCUAAUUUACAACCAUAAAACUAUUACAAAUCAAAAUUAACAUCAAUUGCCCCAAUAUAAUGCUUUAAAAUAAUGAACUAUUUUUGUACACCAUUGUAUUUGGAAGUUGACUUGUCUUCAUUUUAGAAUAAUGAGACCUUGCAGUUAAAUAAGGUCUAUGUAUAAGUGAUUAAGUUGGCACAGACAAGGCAUCCUUAGAGUACAAAUGUAAAGAUUCUGGGAUGUUGUCACAAACAGUUUAUCACAAGCACUAUCAGGGAUAUUGCUUGUCUGAGCUCAGCUUUAAGAUUAAUUGAAAAUGUGUAAUCAAAACUGUUCAGUAAUUAUUGUCUCUAUGUAAUACACGGAUAAUAUUGUACAGUUAUCAAUAAUGACAAUAUUUUUACAGUAUUAUCAGUCUUCUUGUCUUGUUAAUUGAUUAGUGAGCACUUCGAAAUUCUGUUGAGAAUAAUUUUCUAAUUGAUUUUAAGGAUAUGACCAAUAAUGAAUUGAUUAUUGUGGUAUUAAAUUGAAAGUUCUUAAAACUUUCAUAAUGUCAAUAUGCAAACUUGAAUCUCAAAUAAUGAACCAUGAUGCUACGAGUUAAAUUAAUGAAGAAACUUCUCUAUUUUGCAUCAUAAAAUAAUUGAUCACAUUUUACUAUUUUGUGAAUAAACAAAUAGAUGAGAAAGCUAUAUCUCAGCAGAAAGUAGUUUCAAUGAUGUAAUGUCCCAACUUAUUGUAAGUGUCAAUCCUUCAUGUCCCAAAAUUAUUAUAAAUAAUGUGUUAUACCUAAAAUGUAAAUAUGUUUAAUGUUUUAAUUUAGUAAUCUAACUAAAUAAAACAACAAUAUCUAAAAAAA